rfam:Ovis aries breed Texel chromosome 12, whole genome shotgun sequence.
UCUCUGGUGGUCCAGUGGUUAGGACUCUGUGCUCUUACUGCUGAGGGGCUGGGUUCAAUCCCUGGUCAGGGAA